AUUGAACGCUGGCGGCAUGCCUUACACAUGCAAGUCGAACGGUAACGGGCCUUCGGGUGCCGACGAGUGGCGAACGGGUGAGUAAUGCAUCGGAACGUACCUUUCAGUGGGGAGUAACGUAGCGAAAGUUACGCUAAUACCGCAUAUUCUGUGAGCAGGAAAGCAGGGGAUCGCAAGACCUUGCGCUGAUUGAGCGGCCGAUGUCAGAUUAGCUAGUUGGUGAGGUAAAGGCUCACCAAGGCGACGAUCUGUAGCGGGUCGUGAGAGGAUGAUCCGCCACACUGGAACUGAGACACGGUCCAGACUCCUACGGG
rnacentral:rRNA from 1 species